rnacentral:rRNA from 1 species
CCUGGCGUCAAUAGCGCGGGGGUCCCAACUGUACCCAUGCCGAACUCAGAAGUGAAACGCCGUAGCGCCGAUGGUAGUGUGGGGUCUCCCCAUGUGAGAGUAGGGAACUGCCAGGC